rnacentral:lncRNA from 1 species
GUUCUGUUCUGUUCUGUUAUGUAGGCUGCUGAUGAAUAUAUAGCAGCGAUAAAAAUCCAAUCAUCCAACUGAAAUGAACUGAUCAAUUGGCUGUCUGCUGUACUCGAUCGUGUGUAUAUAUAUAGAUAUAGAUACAAUCUGCUUGACUGAUUGGGCUCAAAAUUGGAAGAACAAAAUUAAAAAACAAAAAAGAAGAAGAGGGAGGAGGAUCCUCUCGUACGUAGUAGUCGUCGUCUUCAUCGUCAUCAUCUCCAACCUCGGAAUCAGGCAAUUGCUUCAGUAGUAGUUAAUUAACAAUCCAAUCAUCACUCAGUAAAUAAGUCAGCGCUACUACGUACGUACGUACAUAGGAACGAACAGAUGGGUGGAUAGAGUCAGUUAUCGUUUGGUGUUUUGUUCUUGUUCUUGUCCAGGUCCGUUGCAUAGUAGUUGCAGGUGAUGAAGACGCCGCCCUUGAAGCACUCGGCUCGUGCGCAGCCGACCUUGGUGCUCCUCUUGCCGACCAUGAGCGCGAAGUGGCCGCACUCCUUGAAGACCUUGCCGUACUUGCACUUCUCCUUGUCCUUGUCGUAGAUGGCCUCCUCCUUGCCCCACCAGAAGACGGCCUCCCUGGCGGUGGCGUUCCAGUCGUCGUAGCUCCUGAACACGCUCUCGCCGUACUCGUGGCCGCUGUGGAGGAUCUGGCAGUCCUUGCGCAUGGCGUUGGACCAGCGCCGCGCCUGCCGCGCCAGCUGGUUGUCCCACUUCAUGGGCGGCACGCCGUAGCGCGCGCGGAGCUCGUUGUGGGCGUCCACGAACUCCCGGGCGAUGCCCCUGUACCACCCCGUGCCGUUGGUCGGGGACACCAGACCCUUCUCCUUGGCGUACUUGAGCAUCUCCUGCUGGACGACCUUCUCCGCCGCGUACGCCUUCUCCUUGGCCAGCUGCCGCUCUUUCUCCUUGUUCUCGUCUUCCGGCGGGGCUUGCUGCUCGCUGCCGCCGCUUGUCUCAUCACUCUCAGGAGGUGAGUGCAGAAGCGAGGACGAGGAGGACAGGGCGGCGGAGGGGAGGACGACGAAGGCGACGAGGAGGAGCAGUGCUGCCAUGCCGCUGCUGGUGGGCAGGCGGGCCAUGCUGCAGGUUAUGGUGGUUAGGAACGCCCUCCUCUCUUGCCAACGUUGGAGUUGGGAAGGAGGGGGCCGGGGUCCGUCCGAUCCGGCGUGACGGGAGAGCGCGAGGGUGACCGCGGGCGGCCGGCGGGGAGGAGUACUGUGAGGGCUCCCGGCCUGACCCUUUUAAGCAUGCGUGUGCUUCCAUUCUUGGCUCUGUGCUCUCCAAAAGAUGGAUGGCCAUGGCAGUGCCAUGGAUGCAGACAAACCAGGAGCACCACCGCCCUUUUUUUGGCCAUACUGAUUGAGGUUGAGGCCGGCCUGCUGGCUAUUUUCGCCUAUAUAUCCAAGCAUUAUUAGCUAAGGACAAGCCAAGGGAGAACUAGUUCAUGGAUAGCUAGCUAGCUAGCUAGUGCAAGCAGUGUGUAGAAUGAAUCGAAUGGCGUCACAAGUUGACUGUUUGUGUGUUCAAAUUUUCGCCUAUAUAUAUAUUCUGCUUUCACUGACCACGUCAACGUAACAAAUCAUUCAAAUUUGCAGCCCAAGGAUGAUUGAAAAUUUUAGGCGCGGCCUUCUUUGGAUUGUGGGAAUUGAUUCCCUGCCUUCCAAAUAACACCUCGUAUUUUUAUAUCUAAAAUAAAACAAAUCGUCAAUGUUCGAUUGUAGCAUCUAUGUUUCAUCAGGUUUAAUGAUCAACAUUUCAUCUCCUUCAACGUCAGUUUGGUACUGUUUACGUAGUGCAAUUUCAACAAGAUAUAGGGAUCAAGGUUCACAAAACCAGUUGCUUAGCAAAAACCACGCCGGGACCGAUUAAUCGCAAUAAAUCGGUAGAAACCGGCCAAAUUCAAAAUCAAACCAGUUCUUGAAUUGAAACGGCUUGUCCAUUGCUUAGCAACAAAAUUGACCACAUUCUUUCCUGCCUUCGAAAAUGGGCUCGUAUCAAUCAUAUCCUUGUCUGCACCGUUUGUGGCUUCUCCUUCCUAGGAGGUGUUCUUUCAAACAUGCAUGGCACGUACACCCUCUUGGGAGGAGCCAUCACUCGCCUCAUACAUGCCACCACUCGCACGAGCACAUCUCCUAAGUUCUCCUCCUCUCUCGAUGCAUACAAUGCAAACCGCAAACUCUUCAUAGUUCUCAUCGUAUCGUUAGACUAUUAUGGCAAUGAUCCUAGGCUUCCUUUUGUGUGAGGUUUGAUUGUCUAUUUGUUUCCUCCUACGAGACGAACCUGCCAAUGCCACCCUCCAUACCUCCUCCGUUAUCCUUGCUUUCCUUUUAUCUUGGCCCUUGUCAAUCUUCCACCGAAAAGUAAUCGACAACGUCCAGCGGAAUCAACACUGCGACAACCUUGCACAUUCCCCGCACGUGAUGCAAGGUGUUGUUUAAAACGUGUAGCCCCCUUCCCAAUGUUUCUUGCAAUACUUGCACUUGAAUAUGGGAAAUAUGUUGUCCUCCUGUGUUCCCAAACUAGACCGAUAUGAUCUGACAUCCCUAAAAAUAGCAAUAGUUUGAACUGUUAUUACAAUUAUUAUUAGCCUGUAUUGCAAGUAGAAGUGGAAAUUUAAAAGGGUUUGAAGCGAAAAGGGGGAAAACUACAUAACCUAGCUCCUAGUCGGUGACUGAUUUACCAGCAUCUCAAAUAAGGACGCAAAUGUUUUCCAAGGACAGAUCCGAGCGCGUCUGAAAACUAAAAGCACAAAUGAGCGGAGUGGCGAAACUAAGGUCAUGAAUGUAAAAUUCCAUAAUUUUUUGGGGUUAGAUUCGGCACUGACGGAAGGCAGGUCCGCUGCGUGCGUGUACAUGUACAUAUACGGGCUGACUUAAUUUUGGAUGCCAGCUGGUAAUAAAGCAAAGAGACUAGUAGUUCGUUGUGUUCUUUAUCCGAAUAUAUACGCCAUUCAAAGGGAAGCAGGAGAGGGACGAGCAUGCAAAUGCAAAUAAGCUAUCUAGCAGCUGUAAAGUAAAUAAAGUAGCCGAAACGACAAGUAUCUAGCUAAUAAGAUAGUUGCAUGCAUGCAUCUAAUACGACGACGACGACGGCAGCUAGCUGGUGGUGGGGUUGGGUUGCCCAGGAUGUAUGUAGAGAAAAUUCCCUCUAUGCCAUUAGGGAAAUUAUACCAAUUCCUUAUGUGUCAUUGGAAAUUAUAGCAUUCCCUCUAUGCCAUCAGUUUUAGACUUUGUUUUCCUCUAUGCCAUCGCCGUCCAUUCACUAAUCGACGCCGUUACUUAUGCACUUGGACCCACAUAUAUAGCAUUAACCCUCCAGUGCAUGUUCCUCCCUUCCAUCCUUCCCAAACCACGGCUCCGUGUGGUCCUCGCUGCCGCACGGCCACACCAGCCCAGCAUCGCAAGAACGUCCUUCCACGCUGCUAGUGUUGUGCGCCAGCCCGGCCUUGUGUUGUGUCCUUCCACGCUGCUAGCCCGCGCAGGCGCGCAGCCGA